GAUGAAGAACGUAGCGAAAUGCGAUAAGUAAUGUGAAUUGCAGAAUUCAGUGAAUCAUCGAAUCUUUGAACGCACAUUGCGCCCGCCAGUAUUCUGGCGGGCAUGCCUGUUCGAGCGUCAUUACAACCCUCAGGCCCCCGGGCCUGGCGUUGGGGAUCGGCGGAGCCCCCCGUGGGCACACGCCGUCCCCCAAAUGCAGUGGCGGUCCCGCCGCAGCUUCCAUCGCGUAGUAGCUAACACCUCGCGACUGGAGAGCGGCGCGGCCACGCCGUAAAACACCCAACUCUUCUGAAGUUGACCUCGAAUCAGGUAGGAAUACCCGCUGAACUUAAGCAUACCAAUAAGCGGAGGA
rnacentral:misc_RNA from 1 species